rnacentral:tRNA from 1 species
UAAUGAAUACCAUGGAUUUGGAAAGUUAGUAUUUCCUAAAUCUGGUGUUACUUUUGAAGGGAACU